rnacentral:rRNA from 1 species
GAACGAGAAAGUGGAGCAAUCCAUGAGUAAAGUGGCGACCGGGUGAGUAACACGUGACUAACCUACCCUCGAGUGGGGAAUAACUCCGGGAAACCGGGGCUAAUACCGCAUAACAUCGCAAGAUCAAAGCAGCAAUGCGCUUGAGGAGGGGGUCGCGGCUGAUUAGCUAGUUGGCGGGGUAACGGCCCACCAAGGCGAAGAUCGGUAUCCGGCCUGAGAGGGCGCACGGACACACUGGAACUGAAACACGGUCCAGACUCCUACGGGAGGCAGCAGUGGGGAAUUUUGCGCAAUGGGGGAAACCCUGACGCAGCAACGCCGCGUGGAGGAUGAAGCCCUUUGGGGCGUAAACUCCUUUCGACCAAGACGAUAAUGACGGUACUGGUGGAAGAAGCACCGGCUAACUCUGUG